AACGCUGGCGGCGUGCCUAAUACAUGCAAGUCGAACGCGUCUUGUCAAUGAAGUUGAGUGCUUGCAUUACUGAUUUGACAUUAAGACGAGUGGCGAACUGGUGAGUAACACGUGGGUAACUUGCCCCGAAGCGGGGGAUAACAUUUGGAAACAGGUGCUAAUACCGCAUACCAACCAAAAACCACAUGGUUUUGGUUUAAAAGAUGGUUUCGGCUAUCACUUUGGGAUGGACCCGCGGCGUAUUAGCUAGUUGGUGAGGUAAUGGCUCACCAAGGCAAUGAUACGUAGCCGACCUGAGAGGGUAAUCGGCCACAUUGGGACUGAGACACGGCCCAAACUCCUACGGGAGGCAGCAGUAGGGAAUCUUCCACAAUGGACGAAAGUCUGAUGGAGCAACGCCGCGUGAGUGAUGAAGGGUUUCGGCUCGUAAAACUCUGUUGUUGGAGAAGAACGGGUGUCAGAGUAACUGUUGACAUCGUGACGGUAUCCAACCAGAAAGCCACGGCUAACUA
rnacentral:rRNA from 2 species